CUUGAAAGGUCACCUUGACUUCCCCAAGGAGUUUACUUGGAGGCAUUCAGGAUGCCAGUCCAGAAAGCCUCACAGAUUGAGGUAGAUAAGAGGACACUUCCCUUCAACCACAGGAGCACAUGCAGAAGAAACAUGGACAGAGCUCUGAAGAAAAGUGCAGAGGAGCCACAGUCACUGAAAGUCCAGUAGUAUCUCAUUACCACUAUUUCUAAAAUCAUCUACCAUCAGGAAUGG